GGGGUUGUGGCUCCGUGAUAGAGCACUUGCCUAGAAUGUAUGAGGCACUGGGUUCAAUCCUCAGCACCACA
rnacentral:tRNA from 1 species